AAUCAAUGCAGGGUUUCGAACUCUUAAGACAAAUCAAGUUUGUUAAUGUUUUAUGAGAAAGGAAAUGCACAUUUAUUAGACCUCAGAAAGUAAACAGAGACCUCUGUUUGUUUUACAAGAAAAGAAAACUCCACAGGGCAUAUUUAAAUCUUCUUUACCUGUAUCACUAUGGACCUUUCUAACUUUACAUUUCAUUUUUUCCUCAGUAAUGUCAUAUAUGGUAAAAGGGGCAAAGAGUCAUAACACAAAGCCCUGUUAAACCAACAGAAGUUUCUCUGUACAUUAUUUCACUAUAAGGGUACUUGUCACAAUCUGCACCUCUGUGUGAUGUUCUGUCUGGAUUGCAUUUAGUCAUGUCCUGUUUUAUUUUAUCAGUGUCUAGCCUUAUGUGUCUGUUGGUGUUAUACUUCCUGCCUCUGUGAUUGCCUGCGCCACUCAUAUGUGUUGUACCCAAGUGGCAACCUUGGGUCGUCACCCAUUUAUUUUUGAACUGAUGUUUUGAAGCCUCGAGCUUAGCAUUUUGGCCAGCACCAUCUUGGUUCUUUGAAACCGGAGGUGAGCACAUUUGUAGGAGGGGGGGUCGGGCUCGACUGGGAGUUCGAGGCCAUCUACACCUGCAGCACCUACUUUCUGUAGCCCCAAGGCUGGUUGUUGGUUGUUUGCAACCAGUGGAGUCGCCCUCGGCUCGUCAUUCCAGAGAAUACAUGUUUCUGGCACUUCUUCAUUGGUUUCACUUUCCUGACCUCGACUGUAUGUACGUAUGUCCAUUUUUGUAUACAGUUUUUGGUUGCACCUUUGUCUCAUUACGUCCCCCCAUUUAUGUGGGGGAGGUAAUGGGAGGUAGUCUCCCCUCACUCUUUGUUCGUUCGUCUGUAUUUGUUCCAGAGAGUCGUCCCUGUAUCUGCCUGCCUGAUUAUCAACCCAUAUAUCUGAAAGCCUGGUUAUUUUCAACAUUAAUUUAAUGUUGCAACAUUUUAAUUGUAGAUUUACCUCAUGGUCAAACUGAGCUUUGAUUUCAAUGCUGAUAUCAAUACUAUUGGAAAAUCUUUGACGUUUUUGAAAAUUUGUUAGGUUGAAAACAUGCUGAUGCUUUUUGAAUGUCACUUUUAAUUGUGUUCUUCAAUGUGGAUCAGCUAUAAUUUGUGGAUUUUAAUUAUGCAUUGAUUGAAUGUGUUUUUGUCCAUGAUAAAACUGUGGUAUGACAGGGAUAAUACCAGUUUCAAUUUACCUUUAUCACGUAAAGGAAGAAAGGCAGCAUCGAGCACUUUGAUGUCUUUGACAUGGGGUUUUGAUGAUUUAAAUGCCAACAGAUGUGCAACAACCUGGACGAUCUCAUGUCAAUUAUUGUUUCAACGAGAUGGGAAGGUCAAGAUGCAGCUUCCUCUGAUCCAAAUCACAGAUCAGAGAAGAGGGAACCUGCACUUUAAAACCACAGCCCAAACAUUUUUCUACAUUCUUUGUACAUUGAUUGGAUCUUGAAUGGUAGCGCAGACAGUCAAAUAUAGACUGAAAGUUAUCAAGUGAAUCAUGAGGCCUUGUGAUUAAAGCUGCCGUCGGGUACGAGCGGCUCAGCGCUGCAGAACCUGUGCACAGCCUCACUCGCUCGUUUACGUCUUCACAACGAGGAGCUCGCAGCAGAAGCAGAGUUAGUUUGAAAACACUGUGGCAGAGAAACGCCAAGCAUCGGAAAAAACUGCCUGGCUCCUUUGCCAGAAACUGUAUAUACGAGCAAAAAUGAGCUAAAAAGGAGGAAGCAGAUCGAGCAGCUCCACAGAAGCAACGACACCGACAGGGUUCACAAACGAUGCGUUCUACUUGACCGAUGCUGACUUUGCUGGGGGGACAGCUGAGGAAGGAAUAUUCAACACAACUACUGUAUUU